CAAACGCUGGCGGCGCGUCUUAAACAUGCAAGUAGAACGGAAAGGCCCAGCUUGCUGGGUACUCGAGUUGCAAACUGGUGAGUAACAUGUGGGUAAUCUACCCUAAAGUAGGGGAUAGCCCCGGGAAACCGGGAUUAAUACCGUAUGUGGCCAAGAUGUCAUAAGAUGACUUGGUUAAAGGUGGGGAUCUUCGGACCUGCCACUUUAGGAUGAGCCCGCACCCCAUUAGCUAGUUGGUAGGGUAACUGCCUACCAAGGCUCCGAUGGGUAGCCGGCCUGAGAGGGUGAUCGGCCACAUUGGGACUGAGAUACGGCCCAAACUCCUACGGGAGGCAGCAGUUAAGAAUAUUGGACAAUGGGGGAAACCCUGAUCCAGCGACGCCGCGUGAGCGAUGAAGGCCUUCGGGUUGUAAAGCUCAAUAAGUAGGGAAGAAUAAGCAGACUCUAACAUAGUUUGCGAUGACGGUACCUACCUAAAGCACCGGCUAAUUAC
rnacentral:rRNA from 1 species